rnacentral:rRNA from 1 species
UACGAAGGGGGCUAGCGUUGUUCGGAAUUACUGGGCGUAAGGGCGCGUAGGCGGUGCCUCAAGUCAGGCGUGAAAGCCCCGGGCUCAACCUGGGAACCGCGCUUGAGCACUGGAGUACUAGAGUUCGGGAGAGGAUGGUGGAAUUCCCAGUGUAGAGGUGAAAUUCGUAGAUAUUGGGAAGAACACCGGUGGCGAAGGCGGCUCACUGGCCCGUAACUGACGCUCAGUGCACGACAGCGUGGGGAUCAAACAGGG